rnacentral:rRNA from 1 species
UACCUGCAGCUCGAGUGGUAACCGCUUUUAUUGGGCCUAAAGCGUCCGUAGCCGGUUUAGUAAAUAUUUGGGUAAAUCGUGAGGCUUAACUUCACGAAUUUCGGAUAGACUGCUAAACUUGGGACCGGGGGAGGUCAGAGGUACUCCAGGGGUAGCGGUGAAAUGUUGUAAUCCUUGGAGGACCACCGGUAGCGAAGGCGUCUGACUAGAACGGGUCCGACGGUGAGGGACGAAGCCCUGGGGCGCAAACCGGAUUAGAUACCCGGGUAGUCCAGGGUGUAAACGAUGUGGGCUUUGUAUUGGAGGUCCCACGUGGGCGUCCAGUGCAGGAGAGAAGUUGUUAAGCCCACCGCCUGGGAAGUACGGUCGCAAGGCUGAAACUUAAAGGAAUUGGCAGGGGAGCACAGCAACGGGAGGAGCGUGCGGUUU